rnacentral:rRNA from 1 species
UGGUUCAGACAUAAAAGGUGGCUUCGGCUACCACUUACAGAUGGACCCGCGGCGCAUUAGCUAGUUGGUGAGGUAACGGCUCACCAAGGCAACGAUGCGUAGCCGACCUGAGAGGGUGAUCGGCCACACUGGGACUGAGACACGGCCCAGACUCCUACGGGAGGCAGCAGUAGGGAAUCUUCCGCAAUGGACGAAAGUCUGACGGAGCAACGCCGCGUGAGUGAUGAAGGUUUUCGGAUCGUAAAGCUCUGUUGUUAGGGAAGAACAAGUGCCGUUCAAAUAGGGCGGCACCUUGACGGUACCUAACCAGAAAGCCACGGCUAACUACGUGCCAGCAGCCGCGGUAAUACGUAGGUGGCAAGCGUUGUCCGGAAUUAUUGGGCGUAAAGGGCUCGCAGGCGGUUUCUUAAGUCUGAUGUGAAAGCCCCCGGCUCAACCGGGGAGGGUCAUUGGAAACUGGGGAACUUGAGUGCAGAAGAGGAGAGUGGAAUUCCACGUGUAGCGGUGAAAUGCGUAAAGAUGUGGAGGAACACCAGUGGCGAAGGCGACUCUCUGGUCUGUAACUGACCCUCAGGAGCGAAAACGUGGGGAACGAACACGAUUACAUACCCUGGUACUCCACANCCUUAAACCAUUAAAGCGCAANGGUAAGGGGGUUUCCCCCCCUUAUUGUGCUGCUAAUCCCCUAAUACCCUCUGCCUCUGGAGGAUUAGGCCCGGA